UACGUAGGGUGCAGGCGUUAAUCGGAAUUACUGGGCGUAAAGGGCUCGUAGGCGGCCAACUAAGUCAGACGUGAAAUCCCUCAGCUUAACUGGGGAACUGCCUCUGAUACUGGAUGGCUUGGAUCCGGGAGAGGGAUGCGGAAUUCCAGGUGUAGCGGUGAAAUGCGUAGAUAUCUGGAGGAACACCGGUGGCGAAGGCGGCAUCCUGGACCGGUAUUGACGCUGAGGAGCGAAAGCCAGGGGAGCAAACGGG
rnacentral:rRNA from 1 species